AUUUAAAUAGCUUAUAUUAUAAAGCGUUAUAUUGAAGUUAUAAAGAAAAUUUUUAUUUAAUUUUUAAAUA
rnacentral:tRNA from 1 species